UCAAGCGAUAGGUAAGGGCAUUUGGUGAAUGCCUUGGCAAUCAGAGGCGAAGAAGGACGUGGUACACUGCGAAAAGUUACGGGGAGUUGUGAACAAGCAUUGAUCCGUAAAUAUCCGAAUGGGGAAACCCACAGAGCAAUCUGUACUGUAUGAUGAAUAAAUAGUCAUGCAGGGCGAACGCAGGGAACUGAAACAUCUAAGUACCUGUAGGAAAGGAAAUCAACCGAGACUCCGAAAGUAGUGGCGAGCGAAAUCGGACCAGCCGAUGGAUAGUCAGUAAAGAAUCAGAAUUACCUGGAAAGGUAAGCCGGAGAGGGUGACAGCCCCGUACGAGUAGAAAAGCUGACUGUUCUUGAGUAAGGCGGAGCACGAGAAAUUCUGUCUGAAAAUGGGGAGACCACUCUCCAAGGCUAAGUACUACUGAUUGACCGAUAGUGAACAAGUACCGUGAGGGAAAGGUGAAAAGCACCCCUAUAAGGGGAGUGAAAGAGAACCUGAAACCGGAUGCCUACAAGCAGUCGGAGGGUCUAUAAGGCCUGACGGCGUACCUUUUGUAUAAUGGGUCAGCGACUUAAUUUAUGUAGCAAGCUUAAGCCGAUAGGUGUAGGCGUAGAGAAAUCGAGUGUUAACAGCGCGUUAAGUUACAUGAAUUAGACCCGAAACCGAGUGAUCUAGCCAUGAUCAGGUUGAAGGUUGGGUAACACCAACUGGAGGACCGAACCCACUCCCGUUGAAAAGGUAGGGGAUGAAUUGUGGCUAGGGGUGAAAGGCCAAUCAAACUCGGAAAUAGCUGGUUCUCCGCGAAAACUAUUUAGGUAGUGCGGUGAGCGGACACCUUGAGGGGUAGAGCACUGGAAGAGCUAAGGGGGAGCGAUCCUUACUAAACUUUACCAAACUCCGAAUACUCAAGAGUGAUACUCACCAGACAGACAUUAGGUGCUAAGGUCUAGUGUCGAGAGGGAAAGAGCCCAGACCGCCAAUUAAGGUCCCAAAAUUAUGGCUAAGUGGUAAAGGAAGUGAAACGUCCAAAACAGUCAGGAGGUUGGCUUAGAAGCAGCCAUCCUUUAAAGAAAGCGUAAUAGCUCACUGAUCUAAACAAGACGUCUUGCGCCGAAGAUGUAACGGGGCUAAAGCCAUAUACCGAAGUUGCGGAUUUACACGUUAAAGUGUAAGUGGUAGCGGAGCGUUCUGUAAGCCUGCGAAGGUGUACCGUAAGGUAUGCUGGAGGUAUCAGAAGUGAGAAUGCUGACAUGAGUAGCGAAAAGAAGAGUGAGAGACUCUUCCGCUGAAAGUCCAAGGUUUCCUGCGUAAAGCUAAUCUGCGCAGGGUUAGUCGGUCCCUAAGGCGAGGCAGAGAUGCGUAGUCGAUGGCAAUCAGGUUAAUAUUCCUGAACCGGCCCGGAAGUGACGGAUUGAGUAAAUUGUAAGUUCUUAUUGGAUUGAACUUGCAGUGAAUCAGUCCCAGGAAAUAGCCCGGGCUAAGACCGUACCCGAAACCGACACAGGUGGACAGGUAGAGAAUACCAAAGCGCUUGAGAGAACUAUGUUGAAGGAACUAGGCAAAAUACUUGCGUAACUUCGGGAUAAGCAAGCCCCAUUUUAAGGCAACUUAGGGUGGGGGGCACAUACUAGGGGGUAGCGACUGUUUACUAAAAACACAGGGCUCUGCUAAAUUGAAAGAUGAAGUAUAGGGUCUGACGCCUGCCCGGUGCUGGAAGGUUAAGGAGAGAUGUGCAAGCAUUGAACUGAAGCCCCAGUAAACGGCGGCCGUAACUAUAACGGUCCUAAGGUAGCGAAAUUCCUUGUCGGGUAAGUUCCGACCUGCACGAAUGGCGUAACGACUUCCCCGCUGUCUCCAACAUAGGCUCAGCGAAAUUGAACUCUGAGUUAAGAUGCUCAGUACCCGCGGUUAGACGGAAAGACCCCGUGAACCUUUACUAUAGCUUUGCAGUGGUAUUAGGUAACAAAUGUGUAGAAUAGGUGGGAUGCUAUGAAGCUACGACGCCAGUUGUAGUGGAGCAGACUUUGAAAUACCACCCUUUUGUUGUUUGAUAUCUAACCUGCUCCCGUUAUCCGGGAGAGGGACCCUGCAUGGUGGGUAGUUUGACUGGGGCGGUCGCCUCCCAAAGAGUAACGGAGGCGCGCAAAGGUUGGCUCAGAUUGGUCAGAAAUCAAUCGUCGAGUGCAAUGGCAUAAGCCAGCCUGACUGCGAGAGAGACAUUUCGAGCAGAUACGAAAGU
rnacentral:rRNA from 1 species